AUUGAACGCUGGCGGCAGGCCUAACACAUGCAAGUCGAGCGGAAGAAGGGAGCUUGCUCCUGGAUUCAGCGGCGGACGGGUGAGUAAUGCCUAGGAAUCUGCCUGGUAGUGGGGGAUAACGUCCGGAAACGGGCGCUAAUACCGCAUACGUCCUGAGGGAGAAAGUGGGGGAGCUUCGGACCUCACGCUAUCAGAUGAGCCUAGGUCGGAUUAGCUAGUUGGUGGGGUAAAGGCCUACCAAGGCGACGAUCCGUAACUGGUCUGAGAGGAUGAUCAGUCACACUGGAACUGAGACACGGUCCAGACUCCUACGGGAGGCAGCAGUGGGGAAUAUUGGACAAUGGGCGAAAGCCUGAUCCAGCCAUGGCGCGUGUGUUAAGAAGGUCUUCGGAUUGUAAAGCACGUUUAGUUGGGAGGAAGGGCAGUAAGUUGAUACCUUGCUGUUUUGACGUUACCGGCAGAAUAAGCACCGGCUAACUACGUG
rnacentral:rRNA from 1 species